rnacentral:tRNA from 1 species
CGUGGUAAGCAAAAUAAUGUUUCUAGUUAUGCUGUACGAUUACAAGAAAAACAAAAAUUACGU